UCGCAGGCUGCAACCCGCCCUGCGUGAAGUCGGAAUCGCUAGUAAUCGCGGAUCAGCAUGCCGCGGUGAAUACGUUCCCGGGCCUUGUACACACCGCCCGUCACACCAUGAGAGUCGGGAACACCCGAAGCCCGUAGCCUAACUUUAACGAGAGGGCGCGGUCGAAGGUGGGUUCGAUAAUUGGGGUGAAGUCGUAACAAGGUACC
rnacentral:rRNA from 1 species